rnacentral:rRNA from 1 species
AGAGUUUGAUCCUGGCUCAGGACGAACGCUGGCGGCGUGCCUAACACAUGCAAGUCGAACGGAGAAUUUCAAUAAGUUUACUUAGAGAAAUUCUUAGUGGCGGACGGGUGAGUAACGCGUGGGUAACCUACCCAUAAAGCCGGGACAACCCUUGGAAACGAGGGCUAAUACCGGAUAAUCUUAGAUGUUGGCAUCAACGUUUAAGGAAAGGUGGCCUCUGAAGAUGCUACCGAUUAUGGAUGGACCCGCGUCUGAUUAGCUAGUUGGUGGGGUAAAGGCCUACCAAGGCGACGAUCAGUAGCCGGCCUGAGAGGGUGAACGGCCACACUGGGACUGAGACACGGCCCAGACUCCUACGGGAGGCAGCAGUGGGGAAUCUUCCGCAAUGGACGAAAGUCUGACGGAGCAACGCCGCGUGUAUGAUGAAGGUCUUCGGAUUGUAAAGUACUGUCUUUGGGGAAGAACGGUCUCUUUGAGA